rnacentral:rRNA from 1 species
AUUGAACGCUGGCGGCAUGCUUUACACAUGCAAGUCGAACGGCAGCGCGGGCUUCGGCCUGGCGGCGAGUGGCGAACGGGUGAGUAAUGCAUCGGAACGUGCCCAGUAGUGGGGGGUAGCCCGGCGAAAGCCGGAUUAAUACCGCAUACGACCUGAGGGUGAAAGCGGGGGACCGAAAGGCCUCGCGCUAUUGGAGCGGCCGAUGUCGGAUUAGCUAGUUGGUGGGGUAAAGGCUUACCAAGGCGACGAUCCGUAGCUGGUCUGAGAGGACGACCAGCCACACUGGGACUGAGACACGGCCCAGACUCCUACGGGAGGCAGCAGUGGGGAAUUUUGGACAGUGGGGGCAACCCUGAUCCAGCCAUGCCGCGUGCGGGAAGAAGGCCUUCGGGUUGUAAACCGCUUUUGUUCGGGAAGAAAUCCUCUGGGCUAAUACCCCGGGGGAUGACGGUACCGGAAGAAUAAGCACCGGCUAACUACGUG